UAAAGGCUUUUUGGCCUCAAAGCUCAGAUCUUUAUUUUGGCUCAAAUCUCAAGUGAUGUGAACUGUUUGUUAUUCCAUUUAAAAAAACAACUUUUUAUCAAUUUCUUACAACUUUUGUCUUAUAUGGCCAAUAAAGUUACUGACUCUGGGUCAGUCCUAUUGGUAUGAAUGAAGUGGUGGCAGUGGUUCCAUGUUCUACAUGACUGAGGUGUUAAUGGAGGCUGAGGUUCAUGUUCUAGAUGACUGAGGUGUUAAUGGAGGCUGAGGUUCAUGUUCUGGAUGACAGGUGUUAAUGUAGACUGAGGUUCAUGUUCUGGAUGACAGGUGUUAAUGGAGGCUGAGGUUCAUGUUCUGGAUGACAGGUGUUAAUGUAGGCUGAGGUUCAUGUUCUAGAUGACAGGUGUUAAUGUAGGCUGAGGUUCAUGUUCUGGAUGACAGGUGUUAAUGGAGGCUGAGGUUCAUGUUCUGGAUGACUGAGGUGUUAAUGUAGACUGAGGUUCAUGUUCUACAUGACUGAGGUGUUAAUGUAGGCUGAGGUUCAUGUUCUGGAUGACUGAGGUGUUAAUGUAGGCUGAGGUUCAUGUUCUAGAUGACUGAGGUGUUAAUGUAGGCUGAGGUUCAUGUUCUAGAUGACUGAGGUGUUAAUGUGGGCUGUGGUUCAUGUUCUGGAUGACAGAUGUUAAUGUAGGCUGAGGUUCAUGUUCUAGAUGACUGAGGUGUUAAUGUAGGCUGAGGUUCAUGUUCUAGAUGACUGAGGUGUUAAUGUAGGCUGAGGUUCAUGUUCUAGAUGACUGAGGUGUUAAUGUAGGCUGAGGUUCAUGUUCUAGAUGACUGAGGUGUUAAUGUAGGCUGAGGUUCAUGUUCUAGAUGACUGAGGUGUUAAUGUAGGCUGAGGUUCAUGUUCUAGAUGACUGAGGUGUUAAUGUAGACUGAGGUUCAUGUUCUAGAUGACUGAGGUGUUA